rnacentral:rRNA from 1 species
GACGAACGCUGGCGGCGUGCUUAACACAUGCAAGUCGAACGGAAAGGCCCUGCUUUUGUGGGUUGCUCGAGUGGCGAACGGGUGAGUAACACGUGAGUAACCUGCCCUUGACUUUGUGAUAACUUCAGGAAACUGGGGCUAAUACCGGAUAGGAUCUCCUGCUGCAUAGUGUGGGUUGGAAAGUUUGGGCGGUUGGGGAUGGACUCGCGGCUUAUCAGCUUGUUGGUGGGGUAGUGGCUUACCAAGGCUUUGACGGGUAGCCGGCCUGAGAGGGUGACCGGCCACAUGGGGACUGAGAUACGGACCAGAAUCCUACGGGAGGCAGCAGGGGGGAAUAUUGCACAAUGGGCGGAAGCCUGAUGCAGCAACGCCGCGUGCGGGAUGACGGCCUUCGGGUGGUAAACAGCUUUCGACUGUGACGAAGCGUGAGUGACGGUAAUGGGUAAAGAAGCACCGGCUAACUACGUG